UUUUUGAAGGGUGUAUAAAAUCUUAAGUAAGAUCAAUGGAAAAAUUGAUAGAUAUUGAAGUUCUAAAUUGCCUUAGGAUUAGAUUAAUUUAAUUACGAUUUGAUUAAGGUUUAGGAUUUGAUUUAAGAUUUAGAGAUUAGUUAGGAUUUAGGAUUUUUUUAGGAUUUAGAAUUAUUUAGGAUUAAUUAAGGUUUGAUUUAUAAAUUAAUUAAAAAUUAUUAGGAUUUCAAUUAGGAUUAAUUUAAAAUUUAAUUAAAAUAUAUUUAAGAUAUAUUUAAGAUUUUAUUCUAAUACUUCUUUUAAAUUGUUUUAGAAUUUCUUCAUACUUCUUUUAAUAUUUUUUUAAGGUUUCUUUGAAUUUGAUUAAAGCUUGAUUAAUAUUGUUAAGGUUUAAUUGAAUUUAUUUAGAAUUCUUUUAGAUUUAAAAUUUUGUUGUUGCAAUUUUCUUUCUACCUUCUACAACCAAGUACUUGGUACAUUUUCAAGCAAGGCUUCACAUAAUACGACAUUGGAUUUUGAAAAAAGUAUUGAAAAGGCUUCUAUGUAAUCCAAUUUAAGAGAUUGAAUAAAACAGGUCAUAAAUUUAAAGAUGAAUUGAUAUUAAAUGGCAAGAAAGUUGGAUGUGAGAAUUUUUUGAUUAAGGAUGUAGAGAGAUGUUUCA
rnacentral:lncRNA from 1 species